rnacentral:lncRNA from 1 species
UUUUUCCCAUGCACCAAUGUGAGAAGAAGAGAGAAAGAAAGAAAGUUUUGCUUUCUUUACAAUUUGGUCCUUUCACCAAAUACUCACCAUUUUCACUUAGAAAUCUAAAGAAUUUUCAUAUCUAUCAAGAGAGAAAGAUAACAAGGAGACUAUGGGGAGCUAAAAUAUCAAGCUAGAUUCAAGAAAUAGAAGCUGGAGGAGAGAGAAAAUCAAGUUAAAGUUUGAAACUAAUAGAACAAGGUAAGCACAUCAAGAUUUCAAUACAUUUUUAAGUUUGAUAUUAUUGAAAAAGCAUGGAAAUGAUGUUAUAGUAGAGUUUUAUUAUAUAAGGUCUUAUGUUCUUGAUAUAUUAGUGAAGUAAAAUAAGUGAAAGUGAUGGGAAAUAUUAUAGAGAAAGGGAAUAAGGGAGUUAUAAACUUAGUAAUCAACAUCUUGCACUAAAACAGUUUUGGACAGCAGCUGUAGGUUAACUUUGAAAAAUCACCAUAAAUUGUGGAAAUCGAAUUAGAGGAUGAAAAAAAUAUGGAAUUAAAUAUUAUUGAGUCUAGUUUCUCAUAGAAGAAACGGUGUAAGUAAUGAAAUUGUAAACCAUGAGAUAUAAUAAAUUUUGUGAGACAAGGUCAGAAUGAUUUCGGGUUCCCCUGUUCUGACUUUGUAAAAUCAUAAAAAAUUGGAGAAAAAUAAUUAGAGGCUUAAAUUUAUAUAUUUAAAUACUUAAAAAGUCUAUUUUCAAUAGAAAUAAACGGUAACAUCAUCCGAAUCCUGUACGAGGAUAUAAUUAAUUUUUAGUGAAGAAGAGUCGAAACUGUAAGACAGCAGAACAGGGAUGAAUUUAAAGAAUAAACUGUACUUAUUGGCUAAAUAAAAAAUUCUGAAAAUUUUAUGGUAAUAAUAUAUGUGAGUCUAGUUUCAGAUAAAAUUAAUGGAUCUCAAUUCGGAGUUCUUUAGCUUAAGAUAUAAUUAAUUUAGUGACCAUGACUCAAGUGAACAGCUUGUUAUGAGUAAACAAGUAAAUAAUGGUAUAGUAUAUACCAAGGAUGUGGAAUGGAGAGGAGGAGGAGGAAAAAUAUAUGUGAAUAUUCAGCUAAUAUGAUAUUAUUUUAAAAAUAGCUAAUUUACAUGUUUUAAGUUUAGGGACUAAAUUGAACAAAUGUGAAACUUUAAGGAUAAAUUUAUAAAAAUAUCAAAAAGUGACUAAAUUACAUGAAAUGAAUUGUUUUAUUAUUUAAAUUAAUAAAUUGAAUGAAAUAUUAAUUUAGAUCAAGAUUGGGUGAAAAUUUGAGGAAAAUAGAAAAUUACCAAAAUGUCCCUAAAUUUUGGUAUUUCUACAAUUUAGCCUGGUAAGUUCGUAUGAACUAUAUUCUGUAUAAUUUUAAUUAAAGUGAAUAUUAUUUGGUGAUGAAUAUUAUAUAAAUAUGUGUUUUAUUAUUGGAAUUGAAUUAUUAUUGGUAAUAUGUAUAAUUAUUAGAUGCAUUGAAAUGAUUAUCGAAAGCUCGAUUGGGUUGGGGGCUUGUUGGAGAUAUAUCACACUAUCCAUUGAUUCUAUCGGUAAUUUUGGAUGAUUUGAUUCUGGUAAUAAUGGCAUGUAUAAGUUAAAUUGGCCAACGUUAGCUCAUUAAUGUUUUGAUUUUGAUUGGUUAUAGUGCUUGAUGAAAUGAAUCGUCUGUAAAUUAAUUUGUAAACUCUGGUAAUGCUCUAUAACCCUAUUUUGGCGAUGGAUACGGGUUAGGGGUGUUACAUGAUGGCAAAUUAUACUCCAAUCACCAACGCGCACUACCUCCAUAACGACUGACCCAUCAAUUGAUAAACUGAGCUGUAAUGUCAUAUCCUCGAGUGUAAUCACACUUACCACUCGGAAGAUGAAAUGUAUGUGUCUUGAGUCUCCAUCUUUCCAACAAAACACUGAUAAGUGCGGGCUCUCACACAUACGAGACACAUUCAAGAGUCCUGGCUCUUCCAAGUGUUGUUCAAUAACAUGCGGCGCUCUCACACUUAAAUUGUGUAUAUAUGUUUUGAUAAUCUAAUCUUCGUC